UGAAAUCUCACCAGGCCCGGACACUGGAAGGAUUGACAGAUUUAUAGCUCUUUCUUGAUUCGGUGCGUGAUGGUGCAUGGCCGUUCUUAGUUGGUUGAGUGAUUUGUCUUGUUAAUUCCGAUAACGAACGAGACCUUAACCUGCUAAAUAGUGACGCGGUUCAUCGAACCGUGGGCCACUUCUUAGAGGGACUAUCGGAUUCAAACCGAUGGAAGUGUGAGGCAAUAA
rnacentral:rRNA from 1 species